rnacentral:rRNA from 1 species
GAACGCUGGCGGCAGGCCUAAACACAAUGCAAGUCGAGGCGGUAGAGAGGGUGCGUUGCAUCUCUUGAGAGCGGCGGGACGGGUGAGUAAUGCCUAGGAAUCUGCCUAGUGGUGGGGGAUAACGUUCGGAAACGGACGCUAAUACCGCAUACGUCCUACGGGAGAAAGCGGGGGGAUCUUCGGACCUCGCGCCAUUAGAUGAGCCUAGGUCGGAUUAGCUAGUUGGUGAGGUAAUGGCUCACCAAGGCGACGAUCCGUAACUGGUCUGAGAGGAUGAUCAGUCACACUGGAACUGAGACACGGUCCAGACUCCUACGGGAGGCAGCAGUGGGGAAUAUUGGACAAUGGGCGAAAGCCUGAUCCAGCCAUGCCGCGUGUGUGAAGAAGGUCUUCGGAUUGUAAAGCACUUUAAGUUGGGAGGAAGGGUAGUAACCUAAUACGUUGCUACUUUGACGUUACCGACAGAAUAAGCACCGGCUAACUUCGUG